UGUCUCCCCCCCUCCCCCUCCCUGGCAGGAGCACCCAGUACCAGGGGAGUACUAGGAGGACGUCUCCUCAACGUGAGUCGGUGAAUGCAUUCUUAACAGUCUUCGGGCUGUGUCUGGAUCCGCGAGAGAGCUACACUGCACCUGAGGUUGAUUGGACAUGCGGCGAUGUUGGACACCAGGGACCUCUACCGUUAUUAAGAAUGGUUGUCACACUUUCUUAAUUCUCCAAACCUUUCUGCCUGGAAGAUAUAUUCUUGAGUAUUUGUUUUCUAGAGGAAGACGAUCAUCAUCUACAGUGAGGAAUUCAGCUUGGGUGGCAUUCAGAACUGUAUGUUAAGGCGACAGAGCAGUGGCACAAGCAGGAUGAGGUCAGUAUCCCGACAGUCAGAAUGCAGUCAGCAGGAUCCUGAAGAUCAGAAUCCCAAUGGAAC